rnacentral:rRNA from 1 species
AGCAGUCGCCACGGUAAUACAGAGGGUGCAAGCGUUAAUCGGAUUUACUGGGCGUAAAGCGUGCGUAGGCGGCUUUUUAAGUCGGAUGUGAAAUCCCUGAGCUUAACUUAGGAAUUGCAUUCGAUACUGGGAAGCUAGAGUAUGGGAGAGGAUGGUAGAAUUCCAGGUGUAGCGGUGAAAUGCGUAGAGAUCUGGAGGAAUACCGAUGGCGAAGGCAGCCACCUGGCCUAAUACUGACGCUGAGGUACGAAAGCAUGGGGAGCAAACAGGAUUAGAUACCCCGGUAGUCCCUGUCUCUUAUAC